CUUGAGAAAUGAUUCAGCAUGGACCUUAAAAUGGGGCAUUUGCAGGGAGUUGCUUCCAUACAUAAAUUGAUGACAAUGUUGUAUUCAAAAUGUCUAUUCCUUGUUUAAUACCUGACACUUAACUCAAAAUUCAAACUUUGGAAGAGUUUCAGGUAAAGCCUUCAAUCUGUCAACGCCACAAGCUUAACAAUAAUUUCUAUUCUUUCACAUCAAACCUGAUCACUUCUCAACUUCCAUGUAUCUUUCCUUUGUAGGAUGAAAAGUAGUUCUGGUUUGAGUCUUUAUUGAAGCUUCUAUUUUCCUCUGUGAACCAUGAGAUUUGACACUUGAAGCUAUCUCAGCAUUGCUUUUUUCUUUUCUUUUCUUUUUUUAAGGAAGAGGGGAAGGGAAGAAAGCCUUGGAUUGCCUAUGUACUGCUUUGACGGAAUAUAACCUCAAAUUUGGCACCAUUUUGAAUUAUCCUGACUUGGCCUCAUUUAGAGCUUUGCCUGAGUUCAGGGAAUAGCAAGAAGGGGUUUCCACUCAGCUUUCUCUCUCACAUAUUAAGCUUGUCGAAUCACUUUUUCUGGGUUAACAUUUGUACUUCAAUCUCAGGCUAGGUUAGAUGGAGAAGACAUAGGCUAUGGUUUUAAUCGAGAUCUCAAACUUAUUAGUGAGGUCCAAGCCCCAUCUCGCAGUGUUACAAGAUUCUUUUAUGCGGCAUUCUCAGCAGCUGCAGGUAUUUCACUGUUGUUCACAAUUCCAAGGCUUUUUCGUGCUAUUAAAGGUGGUGGUGAUGCCCUGACCUCUGGGAAACUGCUGGAAAUGCUGCCACCAACACUGGAGGUACCUUUGUCUCUCAUACAUAAAAACAAAGUUGGAUUGAUCUAUACUGUAGUUGGUGAGAGAAACUUUGAAUUUAGUUAUUUUCCUCUGUUUACUUGUAUAAUUGAUGAGUGCACUGAAUAUGAUCAUUGACUGACCCUUGUAGCUUGGUUCUAAAAUGACUAAGGUUUUGAAUCAGCAAUCUACAGGCAUCAUAGUUCUUGUGGCAUUAUUUUUCUGGGACAACAAGAGAGGGGAAGAGCAACUUGCAGAGAUUACAAAAGACGAAACUCUGUCAAGCUUGCCUUUUCACCUUUCCACAAAUCAGGUUGUUGAACUUGUCCAGCUUCGAGACACCGUUAGACCAGUUAGUAACAAGACUUUUUUGUUUUUUACCCAUCAAAUUACAUACAUUGUGGUCUCAUAAUUACAAACUUAAUAACAACAAAGUACUUUCCUGCACUUUUUCGCUAAUGUCUGGUCUAAAUAUAUGAACAGAUAGCUAUGAAAAUAUUGCCUUGUCCUCCAUUCUAAAUAAGGAAAACACCAUCUGAAAGUGCACCAUAAUAUUGUAUCGUGAUACUUUCUGCUGUGUUGAAGUGAUUGAAACAGUUAAGAUUGUUAGCUCCACUUUUACCAGCCAGCUACGUAUCUCACUUUCAAAACAUUUUGCAGCAUCUUAUUUUAGCAUCCAAAAUAUUAUCUGUUUAAUGCCCUAAAUUAUGUGGCUUGGGUUUAAGGUGGUUUUAGCAGGGAAAGGAGACCGUUUCCCCGGCCGUGCAGAAAGCUGAGAGGUUCUGAACUGAGCUCCUCCGGCAAGGUGCUCUUUUACUUCCUGUUAUUUGGGGUGAAAGCAGGGCUCCUGAAGUAGAGAAGAAAGGGUUUGGUGUUCCUCAAAAAGCAGCUACUCCUCUUCCUUCUACUGGGGUCAGAUAUAAAGGUUCCUUGAGUGUUUCUUUCUUUCGCUCCUAAGGAUAUGUGGGGACAGUAUUGCAGCUUUUUUCCAUUAGUAUGCUGUCAACGUCAGGUUCAUUUUCUAGGGAUUUCUUUCUCGCUAUUCCCAGCCUUAUCUCGUUUGGGAUCGAAUAGCUUAGUAGAACUUUUGUUCCCUUUUUUUUUUUUUCCUCUUAGCUUUGAUGACACCAUGGUAGGAAGAUUUCGAGAAAUGAACUCAUUCUGUGAUUGCAAAAUCAAAGUUGAAAGCUGAGAUUUGAUUUAGAGUCUAGGUUGUGUCACCAGCUGAAUGGGAAAGGUCAGAUGCUGCUCCAUUUGUAUUCAUCUUUCCACCGUCACAAAAGUUAGACUGUAGUUCAUUUUUGAAACAAAUGGAUAUUUGACUUCUUGUACUUGUUGUCAUUUUUAGGUUCUUCAUGUAAGCAUUAUGCCAAUUUACUUAUCCUGGGAUCAUACAAUUUUGUACCUUUCAUGAUCAUGGAUGAAUGAAUUAUAAGCAGAAAAUUGUUUGUCUC